UCGGGGUGAGCGACGGCGCUGAGGACGCUGGUCAUCACGAACUCGUUCGGGCGGCACUCGGCUUCCUCCAGCAUCAGUUUGAACAGGGAGAAAGCCUCCUCUCCAGAUUUCUGCGCGGCAUAUCCCGAGAUCAUGGCCGCCCAGGUGACGGAAUUCGUCUCUAGCAUUCUGUCGAACACCUUGCGGGCGUCGCAGACGAGCCCCAGCUUACAAUACAUGUUCAGCAGGGAGCUCCCCACAAAGACGUCCCCGGGGCCCGUGAUCUUGAUCGCGAGCGAGUGGGCCUCCAGGCCCGCGGCCGGCUCCGGCGCCUGCGCUGCGGCCGUGAACACCCCGGCGAAGGUGAAGGAGUUGGGGAGCGCGGCGGCGGCGCCGCC
rnacentral:lncRNA from 1 species